AAUUGCAAGUUAUAAAGUCAGAAUUGUGAGAGAUAAACUAUAUCUCGCAAUGUGACAUUUUUCUCGCAAUUCUGACUUCUUUUCUCAGAUUUGUGAGAUAUAAACUCGCAAUUGUGAGUUAUAAAUUGAGGAAAUAAAGACUGACACUUUCUCAGAAUUCUGACUUUAUAACUUGCAGUUCUGAGAAAAAAGUCAGUCUUUAUUUAGUCAUAAUUGGACUUUAUAAGACACAACUGCGACUUUUUAAUCACAAAAUUCUAACUUUAUUACGCACAAUUGCGAGUUUAUAUCAUGCAAUUCUGAGAAAAAAGACAGAAUUGCAAGAUGUAAACUCGGAAUUGCGAGGGGGAAAAAAAAUCAGAAUUGUGAGUUAAAAGUUGCAGUUAUCUUUUUUUUAUUCAGUGGCGGAAACCACAGUUGGAAGCAUUCUUGCUGGAUAAAAGUAUCAAUUUCUUUAAAAAAAAAAAACAAACAAACAAAAAAAAACUACUGACCCCAGACUAUUGAAUGUUAGUGUGUAUUGCUCAAUAAUGAAAUUUGUCAUUUAAAAAAAAAGUGUAAAACGAUGACUCUUUUACCCCAAAUGUGACCACUAGGCUGCCUAAAGUAAACGGUGAGGUAGCUCACUAGGUUUUGGAACAGAGCUUCUGUUGUGGUGUUUCUCACAGAGACAAAACAGUCAGAAUGAAUGAAAAGACUGAGAGUCGCUUUCUCAAAAAUGGAUGGCACCGUUUAUGGUUGACAUUGAGGGUAAGAGUGAAUCCAAGUAUUUACAACGGACCAAGCACCUUCAGUGUACUGCCUCUGAUAGACAUACCUCACCUUUUUCAGAGUUGUCACACUUAAGUGUCAUAGUUUUUGUAUAACCUAUUGAGUGCUUUUCAAUAUGCAUGAGAAUAUGUAUGGUUUCCAAUGCACUACUGUACAAACCCUCUGGUGUGUUUUUCGCUAUGUGUAGACAAUUUAGAUGUCUUUUUCUGUGACUGUUCUCGUGUUUGUGACCAUGUUGUCUUUUGAUACAGGGGUUUUCCUGCUCUGAUCUAUGAAUCUGCUUGUUACAAGCGGUAAUUGCUUCUUUAUUCAUAUCUCAAUUCCUUAAAGAUACAGCGGUCAUAAAGUAUAGCUCAUGCUGGAAGAAUUAUCUGCCUGUUAUCUUUUGCCAAGUCUGUCCUGCAUGAUAAUGGAAUAAUUUGAAUUUACUGUAAAUUCACAUUAUUUGUCAUCAUUAAACAACAUAAAAUAAAGAUGUUUGGUGGUGCAAAAAACACAAAUUUAUACUUCCCGCAAGUUGUCUGUCUUUCAAGUUAAUCUUAAUAACGCUGUAAAAACAUAAUUCAGCGUCUUAGGAACCUUUUAUGGUGGGUUUAGUUUCAUCGACACUAACUGCUGUUUGUGCUAUUUCUCCCAUUGUUUCUUUGUGUUCGAGUAUAUUCUCUGGCCAACGGAGACACGUCUGUCCAUCAUCCUCCUGCCUGCCUCUGCUUUCAAAGGGACAAGACCUCUUCAAGGCCCUUUAUCCAGGUCACUCCUAAAGGCAUGUUUAGAUCUAACACAAAGCAAAGCUCUGAUUAGAAAUAAACAGCCAGUUCUGAGAGCCGAUGCUUAUGGGAUUUAUGUUCCCCAUCUCAUCUGUAGCAUCACUAAAUCUCUUUUUUACGUUUUUAAAAUCCUUUUUUUUUUUUUUGCCUUGAGCUGUAGAUUUGUUCUACAGUGAUACCUUUUCUGUCAGGGCAGCUAUGUAUUUUCAUGUAUAAAAACCCUUAUAUAUUGCGUAUGAAAUGUGAUGUUAUCAUGAAAACAUACUAUAUAUACAUACACAAAAGCAAUACAAUAUUCAAUUACAUCCCUUAGUAAUUACCCAAGUUUAGUCCCAAUUAUACGGAAAAACUAAAUUUUCCAUACUUUUAUCAAUUCUAUCUGCCAGCAUUAAUUGGUCUCAUCACAGAAUAAACUGUCCAUAUUCAGCUUCAUGAAGACCUUGCAUUCACUUUAGUCAACCACAGAGGUUCGUUACGGGAACUUUUUUUAUAUUAUUAUUAUUAUUAUUUAAGACCUAAAUGGACUAAUUUAGUCACGUUGUGUGUCAGCUGAUAAUUGUGUAUUUCCCCAGGAUAUUUCAAGAACAUGUGCUUUAUGUAAUGUACCAAGAUACUGGUAUAUUUAUUUUCUGUAUUGUAGGUGCUGUCUGAUAAAGAAGACUCUUUAAGGAAAUCUCAUCUGGAAAAAGGGUAAGUGUUAAAGUUUUGCCUACUCUCAUGACCACAUGUGACUCCAAGUGUGUAUGAGAGAUCCUGAUGGCCAGCUGCUGUCCUACUCUAUUAUUGAAGUGCCUUUCAAGAGCUCAUCUCCUCAUCCACUCAUGGGGGAAAUUACCUACAUCCGUGCACAGCAAAACAAUGUUCGUUUUGUGUCACAUUAUACAGCCAUUUUUUCACAUUUUAUAGAAACAUGUCAAUGUGUUAAUAAAUAGUGAAUUAAAAUGA